ACAACACUUGAGGAUCUCAUAGGCACAAACUAUUCCUUUGAACUUGGGUCAUGACAAAAUCCCACUUAAUGUUUCCCACUGAGACAGUACAUAUGGUUUCUGGGUUUUUCUUUCCUUCAGGGCAUUUUGUCUCUUUUGCUUUUCUGAGUAUGUGGAUACCCAGUACGUGAUAAAAGUGAGGCCUCUGCAAGGUUAAUUCACCAAUCAAUGUUACUCAUCGAAUCAAUUGCCUGGGGGGGACAAGGAGGAGGAAGUUCACUUUGCACUGUUUCAAAGUUCUGUAGGUGUUUCCUGAGGUACUUCAGAGCCUGAUGUGAGCAGCAUGGCAGACAUUUUAAAGGAUACUGGAUCAAACUGUACUGUUUCAAAAUACAGCUCUAUCUUUGGAAUAGGAAUGUGGAAUAAAAGCAUAUCCUCUGCAAGCUUUUCUGAGGUGGCUUCAACAAUUCCAGAGGAAAGACAAUCUUCUAUUGAGUAGCAGCUCAAACAUUUGAAAAUACCAAACCCAAGGAGAUGUAUCCAAAAGGAAAACAGGAAUCCAGUUUUCCUGAGAUCUCCAUCAGAAAGCAGCAGAGGAAUGUGGCUCUCCAUCUUUGCAGGACAUGGUUGACAAGUUUCCAUGGAAGUAAGUUGGAAGCAUUACUUUCAGAGCAAGCUACAUGGAAUGGUACUACAAGUGAAUAACAAAAAUAAAUCACUCAAUUAUGAUCCAGCUAUCCAGUUAGGCCGCAGAGAAAUCUCCAAUGCAAUAAGAAAUGUGGGGAUGAUGGAGAGAUCGUGCUAUUGAAAAUUGCUUCACUGAAGUCAGAGAUUUGAACCCAGUUCUUAACUGAACCAAACACUUAACAUCAAGCUGUCUGAAAUCUGAUUGGAUUUUGUAACUCUAUCAUGAAAAUCUGUUGCCUAUCUUGACCCCCACUUUUUUGAUGAUGCUUUUUACAAACACCCGUGCAAUUGAGAGUAAAAUCCUGAACACUGAAUCAGCGGUGUGAAACACUGAACUGUUGCUGUUUUGUUUCAGAAGGUUUUCAGUUCCUCCAAUGGUAAAUGACUCACCUAACUCAGGAUUUGUAAAGUACUAUCUGGACUGUAUUGCUAACUGCAAGUCACUGUACAGACUCAUCAUUCAUACAACAAAAAAAGAAGUCCCCAAGCAUACCUCAUCUAUUUGCAUUCCCUUCCUCAGUGCUUGCUUUAUUUCCAAAACUGGAACAAAUAGAGACUGCUCAGUAAUAAUCACCUGAGGCCCUUUCAGCCUUAGCCAGGUGGCAGAAGACGUCCCUCACCCUUAUCUUACGAGAUUUUCUUUUGCACCAAUAUGCUCGUUCUUUUUGCGUCAUCACAAACACCAUUAUUAGUCCAGUCACUCCUUGCAUGCCAAAUUGGCUUCAGCUCACAGUGGCACACAUUUGUUCCAUUUUACCAUGUGUUCAUAAAUGUAACAUAGACAUUUGAAAAAAACGAGAUCACUAAAAAGAAUCAAUGAUUGAGAGUAGAGUCUUUCAGAACGUGAAACUCCAAGAACUAUUGUUGAGUGAGAAUGUGGUAAUGCAGGAAUCUGCUGGGAAAUAGUGAUAAUUGGAGUUAAGCUUGCCUAGAUUCAUUGACAUAUUGCUAAUUACAAUGAUUCUGAAUUGCAAGAGUAUUUGCUUGUUGUUUUAAAGAUAUCUAGUAUGUAAUUAUAAUAUCAUUUGUGUUCAUCGUACCACACCAGAAGUAAAUGAAGUUAAGUUUUAAUAGUUUCUGGAUAAUAUCCAACUAGAGAAAAAAGUAUAUACAUGUUUACAUGUUUGUUUAUAAUUAUGAAAGACCUGAGAUAUGCAGAAUACUAAAUACGGAAUGUAAGUUGUUUGUUUGUUUUUUCCUGUGUGCAUGUGAAUCUUUUGAAUAUUUAUAAACUAACGCAAAAGGGAUGUUUAAACUCAAUUUGCAUACUUCUGCCAGCUUCUCCUUCUCAACAAGAAGCAGUGCUUGGAAGAGCCAGAUCCUGUGUCCAGAAAUGUACUUUCACUGAGUAGAGGAGUUUAGGCAUUCAAACUACAUUAAAUGGGUGGAAAAGAUUUUACAAUUAGCAAACAAAUCUCCUGCUACCACAGGCAGCUGAGACUGGUUUCCUUCAGAGCAUUAUUUCUCCAAACUAAGAGGGAGAGGGGGAGUUUGAGGAGAGGGCAUUCAUGUCUGUAAGAAGUAUUUACUGCUCUUCCAUUCCUAUAGUCUCUGCUUCUGGAUAGUCAUUUGUAUUUUUUGCUGACUCCAUAGCAAUCUGGAAUUUAGAAUUGGUGAAAAGAUGGUCAUAAGCCUCUCCAGGAGACUUAUGAAUUAAAACCCACUGGGAAACUUAUAUUUCCCUAAAUGCUUACUUUCUUCUUGGGAAGAAGUAACUUGUUGCAGUAUUUUGGAAAUAGUUGAUGGAUUAUGCAAGUGGCUCUAGGGCAGUGCUACAUUGUUGGUCAAUUAGACAGCAGUAUACAGCCUGCACAAAUCAAAUUAUCUUGUGGUCUUAUGUACCUCUGUACCAGCUGAGCAAAUAUUACAGAGACUGAACUUAUGGUCUAAUUUUUUCCAACAAACUAUUUUCAUUGAGCCGGAAGGUCACUGCUAAACAGGCUUAUGACAGUGUGAUAUGAGUGUGCUGUAAAUAAAAGCCAGUAGCUUUCGAGAUAGGUAAACUGGAGUGGACGAUUUUGUGAUAAUCUACUGCCAGUACAACGUGUAAAAUCUGACACCAUUGUACUUAGCAGCAGCAGUUUAAUUGUCUCUGUAAGAGGGAAAAGUCACAGACAAAAAAAACCCUAUUCUGAAAUAAAGCCUCUGGAUAUGGAAAUCUAAGGAAACAUUAAUAUUAGGAAGAAAAAUUAUGCCUAAAUAAAAGAUUAAGACAAUGAGAAAAAAUAAGCUGAAAAAUCUUGCUAACUAGCCAAAAAGAAUCAUAGAAUGGCCUGGGUUGAAAAGGACCACCAUGCUCAUCUAGUUUCAACCCCCUUGCCAUGGGCAGGGUUGUCAACCACCAGACCAGGCUGCCCAGAGCCACAUCCAGCCUUGUCUUGAAGGGUAAUACAUGGCUCUUACUGCCAUAAACCAUUUAAGUCAUGCUUUCAGAGCCCAACUCUGUUGAAGACAUUAAGAAAAGCCUCACAGACUAAAUCAGCUCUUUCAUAUCAAUCUGCAAACUAGAAGUCCUCCUGUCUUUUUUUUUUCUUUUUUUUACCCGUUCAGCUGAUUUUCUGUCCUUUUCAGAAAUGCCUUCAACAAUUUUAUCAGUAGAGAAAAUGGAAACUAUGCUACUCACAUGUGCCUCCUAAAGUGAAAGUGGAAGGGGGAAGACUCUGGGGCUGAUACAACUUAAUCAGCUUUUGAGUUUCUUGAUUGAACAGUUCUGUCAGUAAGAUGGUUCUGGGACCAGUAAGAUGGGUUCUCAGGUCCCAGAACCUGAGAACUGCCAAACAGUAAUGGUUGUCUGGCUUUGCCAUUCCCACCAUCUCCCUGCGCAGGGAAAGAGAAAGUUUAGAGGAUGAUUCAAAAGAUCAGUUGAUAUUACAUUGCAAUGCUAACUGUAUAACAAGGCCUCCUAGGCACUGGGUUCAUUUUAUAGUUAUAAUUAUUUUGUUCAUGGUAUUACCUGUACUACAGCGUAUAAAACACAGCAUAUGCCUGAGAUGGUGGCUUAGCAGGAUCUGAGUUGCCAGUAUGUUCACUGCCACUUAAUUUAACCUUUGUUGGAAAUCUUGUCAAAAGUAGCACCUGGAUUAAAUGUUUUGAAAAUGAGACUGGGAUCACAUAAGAGUAGUUGGCCUAUUGAUUUAAACAGGAGACCAGUCAGGUGCUGUGGUGGCAGAUUAAGGACAUUUUGACAAGGCAAGAAAAAAAGUAGAUGAGGAAAAUAAUAAAAUGUAGAAAAUAUGCCGUAAAGCAGACAUCCUCCUGUUGUCCUGUGAUAAUAAUAUCAUGGAGUCCACAGGUAAAUUUUCACACAGUCUUCCUGGCAAACAUGGAACCCAUAAUGGAUAGAUGCUCAAAGUGUAGGUUUCAAAAUAUAGCGGGAGACAUGUGCAUCAUAUUGGGGAGCCUGGCCCCCUCUGCACCAUUCCAGAGUCUCUGAUGUGUUUUGGAACUCUAUGGAUUCACUCAGGUACAAGACAAAAGGCUACAGUUUUCUGACAAGUUCUGAGACCAACAUCGAGCAACAAGGAGUCCUCACAAGGGACUGUGUGGCAGAGACUGAAUCUCUGGUGAACACCAUCCUGCAGUUACAGUUUUAAUGAAAAUUGAAAGCUUAAGUGCCACCAUUUUCAGUAUCACUUUUCCCUAAAAUGAUUUAUUGACCACUUAUACAUGAUACAUUCUCCUGUCAUGAAUAACACACUAUAUAUUUAUUUUCCUGAAUAAUGGCUCCCAUUUUAAUUGAUAGCUUCAGACAGAGAAGUAGAUUUAUUUCUACAAUGAGUAAAACUGUUCUCAAAAUACAGCCUGUAUAAAUUAUUUUAGUAUGUAUUUCAGUUUUUGCAAUCCAGUAUGAUCCUAAUCUUAACAGAAAUCAAUCAAAUAAGAUCUGAUACAUUACUAAACAGCAGCCGUUAUAAAGUACACUGAGACAGUUUUCUACAGUGUUUUUAAAAAUUGUGUUAAAUGGUGUUGCCAGGAGUUUUCACUGAACCAAGAAGCUUUUGACUUGGCUGAUAUAUAUGUCUGUAAGAUGUCUGUUUUAUUCUCUGUUGGCUUAUUUGUCUUUUACAGACACAAUACCUGUAUAAAUACAGCACCUCACUAUUUCUCUUCUCUUCUCUUCUCUUCUCUUCUCUUCUCUUCUCUUCUCUUCU